GGAAAGAAUGUGUGGAAUGAGAGGGAGAGAGAGUGUGUGUGUUUUCUUAAAGGGACAGUUCACCCCAAAAUGAAAGUUCUGUCAUCAUUUACACUCUCACAUGUCGUUCAGACUUUAUUUCUUCUCUUUUGAAGAACAUUUUAAACUUGACUAAUUGUAUGGACAAAAAAACACUGAAUAUCUACUUUUUUUUUUUCAAGUCAUACAGGUUUGAACGACAUGAGGGCGAGUAAAUGAUGGCAGAAUUUUGUGGUGAAAGAUCGCUUUAACUAUGCGUUUAGUAUAAAACGAUGUGAUUUAAAUCUGACAAAUCCUUGCUUUCAGGGGAAGUCUUUGAAGGUGGAAAUAAUUUAUGAAGUAAAUUGAUGUUUUACCAAAUUACCACGUGUUCUUAGGGGUAGGGUUCGGUUUUGGUAGACUAAUCAUUAUAAAUAGCUUUAAAUGUAAACAAUUCACGUCUGUUGUAUGUCUACGUUUAAAUGGGUAAGUGUGUGAGAGUAUGUACUUGUACAACUAUCUUUGUAAGGACCAGUUUGAGUUUUAGACCAUCUGAGUGAGGAUAAAGUGAGGACAUUUUGACCGCUCCUCACUUUCUGAGAUCCCUUAAACGCCUGUUUGAGGGUCACAACUUGGUUUUAGGUUAAAGUCAAAUCAAGUCACCUUUAUUUAUAUACAAUAUAGAUUGUUUCAAAGCAGUUUCAAAUAGUUUCAAGCUUUACAGUGAUAACAGGAAAAUGAUUCAGUGAUGCAAAACAGAGUUGAUUUUGGCUGUACAGCAGCAGUUAGUUCAGUGUUGAUUCAGAUCAUCAGUUAUUAAAUUAGUUCAUUUCAUCUAUAAAGCUGUUCUGCAGAAACAGUGAUGUCAUCGUCCAGUUCUCGUCCAGUGCAGUCAGAUCAAUAGUAUUGUUGAAUAUUAAGUAUUAUAAUUAGGUUAAGGGUUGGUUUAGGGUAAGGCUUCGGGUUAGGCACUCAGUUGUGAUGGGUAGGGUUAGAACACUGUGUCCAGUGCUUGUGUGGCCUUGGGCUCAGUAUGACAGCUACCUCUCUCUCUCUUUCUCUGUGUAGAUCUGUAUGUUCAAAAUAUGAAUUAAAUUAGUUACCUAAUAUGCCAUAUUAAUUGCAAACACUACCAGUCAAAAGUAUUGGGUGGGUAAGAUUUGUUUAAUAUAAAUUAAUGCUUUUAUUCAUAAAGGAUGCAUUAAAUUGAUCAAAAGUGACAGUAAAGACAUUUAUAAUCAGGGGUGCACAUAACUUUUUUGGUCUGGUUCUCAAGGGAGAUGCGGCUUGGUACUCACACUUUACACUUUUUUUUUUUUAUUAGGCUGCUGUCACUUUAAGAACGAAUAUACUGACACACAUCCGGUUUCUUUCUCAACUGUUCGCUUAUGACAUAACUAGGCAUGUGACGGUAUCAAAUUUUCAUGUUGCAAAUUAAUUGCUGAAGCUUUUAUCACGGUAUACGGUAUUAUCACGAUAUUGAAAUAACUUGCAAAAAAAAAGUGUUGUCAUAGUAUAAUAAUAAUUUGUAAUAACAAAAAGAACUCUGAAUGUUUAAAUACAAUAAUAAAAUACACCAAAAAUAUAUAAAGUAAAAUUUUCAAACAGAUUAAAGUGCAAAAGAAUUAAGCUAUAAAAAACAACAGGUAACACUUUACAAUAAGGUCUCAUUAAUUAAUGCAUUAACUAAGAUUGAGCAAUAGCUACAUUUGUUACAGAAAGUAUUAUUUUAUGUUAAUGUUAGUUAAGAAAUACAACUGAUCAUUGUUAGUUUUAUCUCAGGUUCAUUAAAUAUUAGUUACAACUUUUGAUUUUAGUAAUGUUAUUAAACAGUAACUAAGAAAUUAACAUUAACUAAAAAUAAUUAAUGCUUUAUAAGUAUUUUUCAUUGUCAGUUUGGUAAUAAUGAAAUAACAUGUUAACUAAUGAAGUCUCAAAGUUUUACUGAACAAUAACAAAUAAUCAGAACAUUUCUAAUCAUUAGGGCAUGUUGUAGUCCAGAUUAAAAUAUAAAAAUGUUUAAGUUUGAAAAUAAAUAGCCUAUUAAGUCUUUAAGUAUUAAGUAUUUGGUGCUGUGAUGAACAACAUUGAGUUUACAAAAAAAUUAAUGGCUGUUUGAAACAUUUUAAAAACUUCACUAGCGCAGUUGCUUUGUUUGCAGGGUUUCCGGGGUAACCGCUGCGUUUCUGCUGUUCCAUCAGUGCCCUCUGUUGUCAGAGAGUGAACGUGCACUUUCAUUCAGCGCGUCUCCUUCACUCGUUCCGCCAUGUGCUUCUCAUGCACAUUCAGGCUUGUUUACAUCUGAGCGCGUGUCCCUUUGACGCAGAAUAAAGUGUUGUGCAUUUUAUACAGUUGAUGGGGAAAGUAUUCUUAAAUGCAUUAUAAAAAUUGGUAAUAAAUUAUUAUUUAUGUUAUUUUGAAGUGCCCACGAUAACAAUAUCGUGCAUAUUCAUUAUCGUGAUAUAUCGCAUUACCGAAUAUCGGCACAUGUCUAGACAUAACCGAGAGAAUACUUGCUAAAGACGGGUAUUUUGACAUAACUUUGUUUGUAUGUGUAGGUUCAAGCGCAAGUAAACAUGAAAAAAAAGGAAUUAAUUCGGUAAAGUGCUGUCUGAAACGUGCCCCUCUCUCUCUCUGCAUGCGCGUGUGCCGCUUUUCGCCUCUUCUUCUGCAUUUAAAAUCGCUUGAAUGUGUAAAUUGGCUAAACAAAACACGUCCAAAUGAUAAACUUUCACUCUAUGAUGAAUAAACUUAGCAGUUAACCCACAAAUCACAUGCAUGGCGAACCGUGGGACCUGGUCCGUACGGAUCACGGAUCAACUAAUAAUUAAUAAACACAUCAUCAUGAUUGCUAUCUUACCAGAGAUGGAGAUGGAGUGUCCCUGUCCCCAAAAAUGUUGGUACUCAAAAACGCUUCCCUCCACGUUUUCUGGCGCGCAUCAUUUAUUUUUACCGCGUAUGCGCACCAGUUGUGUGCACCCCUGAUUGUGCUAUUUCAAAUAAAUGCUGUUCUUUUGAACUUUCUAUUCAUCAAAGAGUCCUGAAAAAUUAAAGUUUCAGUUUCUACAGAAAUAUGAAGCAGCACAACUGUUUUCAACAUUGAUAAUAAUCAUAAAUGUUUCUUGAGCAGCAAAUCAUCAUAUCAGAAUGAUUUCUGAAGGAUCAUGUGACACUGAAGACUGGAGUAAUGAUGCUGAAAAUUCAGCUUUGAUCACAGGAAUUAUAUUUUAACAUAUAUUCACAUAGAAAACAGCUAUUUUAAAUUGCAAUAAUAUUUCACAAUUUUUAAUGAAUUUUGUUCAAAUAAAUACAGCCUUGGUGAGCAGAAGAGACUUUCAAAAACAUUACAAAAUCUUACAGACACCAAACUUUUGAGUGGAGGUUUGUUGUUUUUUCUGAGAAAAAAAAAACAUAAUCAUUGAACAUACGCCUUUCAGUGGCCUAUAGUCCAGUUGACAGGUCACGCUUGUUUUAAUUGUCACACUAUAUACACAAACAGACUGACGUCUUAGGAAAUUUCCUUGUUACAUAUUCAUUUAUGGAUGAGAAAAUCAAGUGAUUCAUCUUAAGGAGGCAAAAACAAUACAAAGUUUCAAACAUUGUCUCAAAUAAUUGUCAUAUGCUCAGCAGGAAUGAUGAAUUAUGCUAUUUUGUGAUGUUUUUUAACCAUACUAAAUUAACUUGUUAAAUUGACAGCACUAGUUAUAUGUAGUUUAUAUAAUGGAUUAUUAUUAAAGGAGAAAAGAAGUGUCUGUAUCUGAGACAUAAUGUUUUAGACAAAAGUUUGGGGUUGGUGAGGUUAUUUUUAAAGAAACUAAUGCAAAGAUGCAUUAAAUAGAUCAAAAGUGACAGUAAAGACAUUUAUAAUGUCUAUUUAAAAUAAAUGCUGUUCUUUUGAACUUUUUAUUCAUCAAAGAAUCCUGAAAAAUAAAAUGUAAUAUGUUUACACAUAAUAGUUUUAGACAUAUGAUGAAGUGUAUCACCAAUAGUGAAAAAUCAAGUAUGAAUAAUUAAAAACAGUGAUUUUCUGUCGAUUUGAAGGGCUUUAAUAUAAGAAAAGCAAUAAAGUUCUCGCUACUUCAGGAGCCUUUGACUCAAAUGAUUGUAUCUAAUUUUAAUCCAGAUCAGAUGAAUAUUGCUUGGACCGUCAGCUGGUUUUGCUCUGACAGGUCCCAAGACACCGUGUGCUUCAGAAGACGUCAUCAGUCUGUUGUGCAAGAGUUCAGCAGUGUCAGAACAUGCUUUGAAGUGUUGAAAUAUAAAACUGACUUGCAUUUAAAGGCGUAGUCUAUCAUUACUAAACAGAAUUUCAACAUUUGAAGAUUUCAAACAGGUUUCCGAACACUCCCCCUGCCUGCCAUUGGUCAGUCAAACAGAUGGCCCCGCCCCCACACUCAUUUCAUUGGUCGAGUCGGAAGUUGACAGCUGUUUGAAGUCGUUUAUGUUUCGAAAGCGUAACACAUCACAGUGUUUCACUCUUCAGUAAGUCAAACUACUGAUGACUGACUCUUACUACAAGGUUUCGCUUGUUAAAGGGGACCUAUAAUGCCCCUUUUCACAAGAUGUAAUAUAAGUCUCUGGUGUCUCCAGAAUGUGUCUGUGAAGUUUCAGCUCAAAAUACCCCACAGUUCAUUUAUUAUAGCUGUUCAAAUUUGCCCCUAUUUGGUUGUGAGCAAAAACACGCCGUUUUUGUGUGUGUUCCUUUAAAUGCAAAUGAGCUGCUGCUCCAGAAGAGGGCGGAGCUUUAACAGCUCGCGCUUCGGUUGCUCAACAACAACAAAGCUGGAGAAUCUCACGCAGCCAAAAUGAGGAUUGUCAGUAACGGUGUUCAGCCUUACAUUGUUCAAACCGGAGUCGACACUGAUGGAGAGACUCAGGAAGAAGUUACAACUUUUAGACAUUUCUGAGCAGUUAGUGGAUAAAUUUAUGUAGUUGCUGUGGAGUUGAUUCAACUCAUCCACUAGCAUGUGCCGUCAUGUUAAUCUUUUGUGCAAAUCCAGCGUUGAAUUGACCCUCGUUUGUGAAGCAGUCCGGCGUAAAAUGACGGCAUGACAACAACACUCUACUACAACAACUCUUCCUCUUCUCUAAAGCAGCCCAACAUGGCCACACCCCAAAUUUUAGGGUUAGUGAUGUCACCAACCCAGGAAGAAGCUCAUUGUAGUCCUACCAGCCGUUUGUUGUAGUCCUUAUAAAGAGAUUUCUGUAAAAGAAAAUAUCUCUCUUUGCAUUGAACUUUGAGCGUCGUAACUUUGCAGAUGUUGUUUAUGCUCAAACAGCAACAUUACACACUAACUAAAGUUAAAAAAGUCAAAUCAUAAUCAACCACCCCAAUCAGAUGGGCUUUUCACACUCGAACUUGUCAAAAUUUGGGUUAUCUUGUUUCAUGCUUUACACAGUUAUUAAUCCACAGGAUUCAGCAUAGUGAAAAGUCAGAUUUUAUUUAAAUAGCACCAUUUAUACAGAUUAGUGUGAAACUGAUAUUUCAUUAGGUGCAUGUUCAGAUUAGUGUCGCAGCUGUGUGUUAAAGUGUUAAAAACAGGAUAUAUUCAGCUUAUGUAACUGAAGCCCAAAAGCUCUUUGAGUUGCAUGACACAGUUCGGCCGGCGUUAUGAUAGCGCUGAUAAUGUGUGUUUGUGUGAGUGAUAAAAGUGGCUUCGAGAUCUACAUCAAAGACAUUAAGCAGACGCUCACCGACUCUCUCUCUCUUCCGCUGUGUGUCAGCUGAUCCAUGUGUCUGUAUAUUUUAGUUGGUUUUAUGAGGCAGCUUGUGUACUCUUCUGUGGAAUGAAUAAUAUGAUCGGUUUAUAUGUGUGUGUGUGUGUGCUGGCGGAGGAAAGGCGUGAGUUAUUUUUAUCCGUGUGGGAACAGAGGGUCUUUGUCUGCAGCUGGAGGAAACGGAUUGGGAAGUUGACGUACGCACACACACACACACACGCGCACACACACACACAAGCUAUUUUAGGCCUUUGAAUGCUUGAAGGUUUGGCUGGUGUGGCAUUAGAGUGAUACAGCUGAAAAAGUUUGAGUUCCAGACUUUUGAGUCCACUAGUAAACAUGAUUCUGUUUUGCAUUCUAAUUCUAUUACAAAUUCUAAACAUAACAUAAUAUUUCAUUAAUCUAUAUAUAUAUAUAUAUAUAUAUAUAUAUAUAUAUAUAUACACACACACACACACACAUUCACUCAGAACUUUAGCAACUUUACAAUAAGCUUUUAUUUGUUAACAUUAGUGAACAUGCAUUAGCCAACAUGAAAUAGCAAAGAACAAUACAUUACAGCAUUUAUUAAUUUUAGUUCAUGUUAAUUUAAACUUUCAUCAAAGUAUUUUUAAUCCUCUGGUGCUCUUCGCUCAUUUUUGAAUUUUACGUUUUAUUUUUUUAGAAUUUUUUUACUUGAAGUAAAAAAUUCAACAAAAAAACACAAAACGUAAAAUUUGUAGGUUAAAAAUGCUUUAUGAAACUUGGAAUGAAGUAAAAAAAAAUAAAAAAAUAAAUUUUGUUAAAAAGUAAAAAAUAAAAAAUAAAAAAACCACAAAACAUAAAAAAAUGGGCGAAGGGCACCAGAGGAUUAAAAAUGCUUUACGAAACUUGGAAUGAAGUAAAAAAAAAUAAAAAAAUAAAUUUUGUUAAAAAGUAAAAAAUAAAAAAUAAAAAAACCACAAAACAUAAAAAAAAUGUUGGUAAAAAAUGGCCGAAGGGCACCAGAGGAUUAAAAAUGCUUUACGAAACUUGGAAUGAAGUUAAAAAAAAAAAAAAAAAAAAAUUCUGUAAAAAAUGGGCGAAGAACACCAGAGGAUUAAAAAUGCUUUAUGAAACUUGGUGUGAAGUAAAAAAAAAAAAAAAAAAAAAAAAAAACAUUUUGGUAAAAAAUGGGCGAAGAACACCAGAGGAUUAAAAAUGCUUUACGAAACUUGGAAUGAAGUAAAAAAAAAAAAAAAAAAAAAAAUUUUGGUAAAAGAUAGGCGAAGAACACCAGAGGAUUAAAAAUGCUUUACGAAACUUGGAAUGAAGUAAAAAAAAAAAAAACAAUUUUGGUAAAAAAUGGGCGAAGAACACCAGAGCUUUACGAAAAAUGCUUUACGAAACUUUGAAUGAAGUAAAAAAAAAAAAUCGGUAAAAUUUUUUUGGUAAAAAAUGGGCGAAGAGCACCAGAGGAUUAAAAAUGCUUUACGAAACUUGGUAUGAAGUAAAAAAAAAAAAAAAACACAAAACGUAAAAAAUUUUUUGGUAAAAAAUGGCCGAAGAACACCAGAGGAUUAAAAAUGCUUUACGAAACUUUGAAUGAAGUAAAAAAAAAAAAUUCGGUAAAAUUUUUUUGGUAAAAAAUGGGCGACGAACACCAGAGGAUUAAAAAUGCUUUACGAAACUUUGAAUGAAGUAAAAAAAAAAGAUCUGUAAAAAUUUUUUGGUAAAAAAUGGGCGAAGGGCACCAGAGGAUUAAAAAUGCUUUACGAAACUUGGAAUGAAGUUAAAAAAAAAACAACAACAUUUUUUUGGUAAAAAAUGGGUGAAGAGCACCAGAGGAUUAAAAAUGCUUUACGAAACUUGGUAUGAAGUAAAAAAAAAAAAAAAAAAAAAAAAAAAAAUUUGGUAAAAAAAUGGGCGAAGAGCACCAGAGGAUUAAAAAUGCUUUACGAAACUUUGAAUGAAGUAAAAAAAAAAAAAUUCGGUAAAAUUUUUUUGGUAAAAAAUGGGCGAAGAGCACCAGAGGAUUAAAAAUGCUUUACGAAUCUUGGUAUGAAGUAAAAAAUAAAAAAUAAAAAACCACAAAACUUAAAAAAAUUUUGGUAAAAAAUGGGCGAAGAGCACCAGAGGAUUAAAAAUGCUUUACGAAACUUGGAAUGAAGUAAAAAAAAAAAAAAAAAAAAAAAAAUUUGUUAAAAAAAUGGGUGAAGAGCACCAGAGGAUUAAAAAUGCUUUACGAAACUUGGUAUGAAGUAAAAUAAAUAAAAAAAUAAAAAAAUUGGGUAAAAAAUGGGCGAAGAACACCAGAGGAUUAAAA